rnacentral:rRNA from 1 species
UACGGAGGGUGCAAGCGUUAUCCGGAUUUAUUGGGUUUAAAGGGUCCGUAGGCGGACUCGUAAGUCCGUGGUGAAAUCUCAUAGCUUAACUAUGAAACUGCCAUUGAUACUGCGGGUCUUGAGUAAGGUAGAGGUAGCUGGAAUAAGUAGUGUAGCGGUGAAAUGCAUAGAUAUUACUUAGAACACCAAUUGCGAAGGCAGGUUACCAUGUCUUAACUGACGCUGAUGGACGAAAGCGUGGGGAGCGAACAGG